GAUGAACGCUGGCGGCGUGCCUAAUACAUGCAAGUCGAGCGAACAGAUGAGGAGCUUGCUCCUCUGACGUUAGCGGCGGACGGGUGAGUAACACGUGGAUAACCUACCUAUAAGACUGGGAUAACUUCGGGAAACCGGAGCUAAUACCGGAUAAUAUAUUGAGCCGCAUGGUUCAAUAGUGAAAGACGGUUUUGCUGUCACUUAUAGAUGGAUCCGCGCCGCAUUAGCUAGUUGGUAAGGUAACGGCUUACCAAGGCAACGAUGCGUAGCCGACCUGAGAGGGUGAUCGGCCACACUGGAACUGAGACACGGUCCAGACUCCUACGGGAGGCAGCAGUAGGGAAUCUUCCGCAAUGGGCGAAAGCCUGACGGAGCAACGCCGCGUGAGUGAUGAAGGUCUUCGGAUCGUAAAACUCUGUUAUUAGGGAAGAACAAAUGUGUAAGUAACUAUGCACGUCUUGACGGUACCUAAUCAGAAAGCCACGACUAACUACGUG
rnacentral:rRNA from 1 species